CCUACGGGAGGCAGCAGUGGGGAAUAUUGGACAAUGGCGGGAACCCUGAUCCAGCGACGCCGCGUGAGUGAAGAAGUUGUUCGGUAUGGAAAGCUCUAUCAGCAGGGAAGAAAAUUACGGUACCUGACUAAGACCCCGCGGCUAACUACGUGCCGGCAGCCGCGGUCAUACGUAGGGGGCAAGCGUUAUCCGGAUUUAAUGGGUGUAAAGGGAGCGUAGACGGUGCAGCAAGUCUGAUGUGAAAGGUCGGGGCCCAACCCCGGGACUGCAUUGGAAACUGUUGAACUGGAGUAGAGGAGAGGUAAGCGGAAUUCCUAGUGUAGCGGUGAAAUGCGUAGAUAUUAGGAGGAACACCAGUUGCGAAGGCGGCUUACUGGACUGUAACUGACGUUGAGGCUCGAAAGCGUGGGGAGCAAACAGGAUUAGAUACCCGGGUAGUC
rnacentral:rRNA from 1 species